rnacentral:rRNA from 1 species
GACUAACGCUGGCGGCGUGCCUAAUACAUGCAAGUCGAACGGGAUUCUUUGAUCAGCUUGCUGAGAGAAGGAUCUAGUGGCGGACGGGUGAGUAACGCGUGGGAAUCUGCCUCUUACUGGGGGAUAACAGUGGGAAACUACUGCUAAUACCGCAUAAGAUCUUCGGAUGAAAGGUGCAACUGCACCGGUAAGAGAUGAGCCCGCGUCCCAUUAGCUAGUUGGUGAGGUAAAGGCUCACCAAGGCGACGAUGGGUAGCCGGCCUGAGAGGGUGAACGGCCACACUGGGACUGAGACACGGCCCAGACUCCUACGGGAGGCAGCAGUAGGGAAUCUUCCGCAAUGGGCGCAAGCCUGACGGAGCGACGCCGCGUGAGUGAUGAAGGCCUUGGGUCGUAAAGCUCUGUUCUUGAGGACGAAUAAGCCAGGGAGUGGAAAGCCCUGGUGAUGACUGUACUCGAAGGAGAAAGCUCCGGCUAACUACGUGCC